rnacentral:rRNA from 1 species
UACGUAGGGUCCGAGCGUUUUCCGGAAUUAUUGGGCGUAAAGGGCUCGUAGGCGGUCUGUUGCGUCUGGAGGGAAAACUUACAGCUUAACUGUGAGCGUGCUUCCGAUACGGGCAGACUUGAGGUAUUCAGGGGAGAACGGAAUUCCUGGUGUAGCGGUGAAAUGCGCAGAUAUCAGGAGGAACACCGGUGGCGAAGGCGGUUCUCUGGGAAUAUCCUGACGCUGAGGAGCGAAAGUGUGGGGAGCGAACAGG